CGCCAGACUCCUACGGGAGGCAGCAGUGGGGAAUAUUGCACAAUGGGGGAAACCCUGAUGCAGCGACGCCGCGUGAGUGAAGAAGUAUUUCGGUACGUAAAGCUCUAUCAGCAGGAAAGAAAAUGACGGUACCUGACUAAGAGGCCCCGGCUAACUACGUGCCAGCAGCCGCGGUAAUACGUAGGGGGCAAGCGUUAUCCGGAUUUACUGGGUGUAAAAGGAGCGUAGACGGCAGCGCAAGUCUGGAGUGAAAUGCCGGGGCCCAACCCCGGAACUGCUCUGGAAACUGUGAAGCUGGAGUGCAGGAGAGGUAAGCGGAAUUCCUGGUGUAGCGGUGAAAUGCGUAGAUAUCAGGAGGAACACCGGCGGCGAAGGCGGCUUACUGGACUGUAACUGACGUUGAGGCUCGAAGGCGUGGGGAGCAAACAGGAUUAGAUACCCGCGUACG
rnacentral:rRNA from 1 species